rnacentral:tRNA from 2 species
CGGGCUGUGGCGCAGCUUGGUUAGCGCGUCGGUCUGGGGGACCGAAGGUCCCGAGUUCAAAUCUCGGCAGCCCGA